rnacentral:rRNA from 1 species
ACUCCUACGGGAGGCAGCAGUGGGGAAUAUUGCACAAUGGGCGCAAGCCUGAUGCAGCCAUGCCGCGUGUAUGAAGAAGGCCUUCGGGUUGUAAAGUACUUUCAGCAGUGAGGAAGGUGGAUAUGUUAAUAGCAUAUUCAUUUGACGUUAGCUGCAGAAGAAGCACCGGCUAACUCCGUGCCAGCAGCCGCGGUAAUACGGAGGGUGCGAGCGUUAAUCGGAAUUACUGGGCGUAAAGCGCAUGCAGGUGGUUUGUUAAGUCAGAUGUGAAAGCCCGGGGCUCAACCUCGGAAUUGCAUUUGAAACUGGCAAACUAGAGUAUGUAGAGGGGGGUAGAAUUUCAGGUGUAGCGGUGAAAUGCGUAGAGAUCUGAAGG